rnacentral:miRNA from 15 species
AGUGUAGAGGGUGGUGAGGAUG